UUUUUUUUUUUUUUUUUUAAGUAAGCUGUGCACCCAACAUUGGGCUCAAACUCAUGACUGGGGGAUCAAGAGUCACAUGCUCUACUCAUUGAGUCAGCCAAGUGCCCCCUCCCUCAACCUGUGUAUCUUAACUUAGAAUACUUUCCAAAGUUCCUUCAAAUGGUACAUCUUCCAAUAUUUGCAACUAAAUAUGAUCUCCUUCAUUUUGUAUUUUCACCUUUUUUUAAAAAAAGAUUUUUAUUUAUUCAUUAGAGACACAGAGAGAGAGAGAGAGAGGGGCAGAGACACAGGCAGAGGGAGAAGCAGGCUCCAUGCAGGAAGCCCAAGUGGGACUCGAUCCCAGGACUCCAGGACCACGCCCCGGGCCAAAGGCAGGCGCUAAACCACUGAGCCACCCAGGGAUCCCAUUUUCUCCUUUCUUAUGACACAUUUUACUUGACCUUGAAUUAAGCCUAUUAAGUACACGUGUAUUCUUCACCUGUUUCCCUCUUCCUUCAUUGAUACAAACACCAGAUAGUAAAUUUUUUGGAGGAAAAUGCAUUCUUCUCAUCUCUAUAACACUGCUUAGUACAGAGACUUCUGUAAAUAGCUGGCACUCAAAAAAUGUUUGAUGUAAAUUUUCCUGAGUUGAAUUUCUGAACUUUUUAAUAAUGUUUAUUGGAAUGAGAGAAUUCACUGUUGAUGGUUCUUUGGAUCUAUUCAGAAAUGUUUUUUCUCAAAAGCAUUUCAUGUAUUUACUUUUUCUCUUUUUGUUUCCAUAUUAGUUACUGCAUCUCUUUCUUCCCUACAUUCCUCUCUUCCUUCUUACUUCCAAUAGUAAUUGAAUACCAAUUUUCAGGAGUUAAAUAACACAAAGAGAAAUAAGAAAAUCUAGACCAAAAUUUAGAAUUUAAUUGUUCUGACAAAGCUAUAAAUCAUAUUCUAAAUUAAGGCAGAGACUAAUCUGAUAUAUUAGUCCUUAACAAAAGAUACUUAAAAGUAUUACCCUCCUCCACAAAAAAUCCUAAGUAAUCAAACUUUAAAUUAAUUCCAAGUUUUUCCUUAAACCAUGGAGGUCCUUUCCAUGCCAUUGAUUUUUCCAUCAGGAAAUAAAACCAUUCAAAAUAGAACAAUGGCUAAUCCUAAACUACAUUUGAGAAAACAGACUGGGAGAAAGGUAGUUCUGUCCUAGCCCUCACCCCCUUCCCACAGCCUCAGUGCCUAGCAUUGAAAAGACAAAUUGCCCAACCAUUCUAAUCUGCCUCAAAGAUUAAGAGAAAGUUAUUGUUUUGUUCACAAAUAUUUAUUGAACACCUACUGCAUACCAGGUGUUCUAGGUGCUAAAUUUAAUGAAAGAGAAUAAAAAGCUUUUUAACCCAAAAUGAGUAUAACAUGUUCUACCUAUGAAGGAAGUCAGCUUAAUCCAUAGCAGUGGGGAAAUAGGGUUGCCAGAUAAAAAUACAAGAUGCCCACUGAAAUUUGAAGUUUAGAUAAGCAAUGAAUACAUUUUUGUGUAAUACAUGUUUAUGCAGUAUCUGGGAUAUACUUACACUAAAAAUCAUUUAUUGUUUAACUGAAAUUCAGAUUUCACAGGGUAUCCUGUAUUUUUAUUUGCUAAAUCUGGAGACCUUACUGGGAAAGGACUGGCAGAAGGAUUCUGCAGAAGCUGGUUGGGGCUGGAAGAAUGAAAUCCAGGAUAAAUGGCCCUAAGAGUAGCAGGCUGGCACAGGGAGGAUAAGGUUUUAAGUACACAUAAAUAAUACAUAGCAAGGGAAGGAGAAUUGAGAAGUAGGAGCUGAUUAUUUUGCAUAAUGAAAUUAUAUAUUAUUAUGGAGCCAAUACUGAGUAAGUUAAAAGAAUAGAAGGGACACCUGGCUGGCUCAGUGUUGGAGUGUGCGACUCUUGAUCUUGUAAAGAGUCGUUGUAAGUUUGAGCCCCAUAUUGAGUGUAUAGAAUACUUAAAAAUAAAAUCUUUUUAAAAAAUUUUUUAAAUUUAUUUAUGAUAGUCACAGAGAGAGAGAGAGAGGCAGAGACACAGGCAGAGGGAGAAGCAGGCUCCAUGCACCAGGAGCGCGAUGUGGGAUUCGAUCCCGGGUCUCCAGGAUCGCGCCCUGGGCCAAAGGCAGGCGCCAAACUGCUGUGCCACCCAGGGAUCCCUUAAAAAUAAAAUCUUAAAAAAAAAAGGAAAGGAAAAGAAUUUGGGUAAGGUAGUAGAAGGCUGGAACCUAGGCAAAAAAUCCCAAUUUUAGUUGUUCAACACUUCUGUGAUAAUUAUUCCUCUUCAUCUUCCCAAAUCUAUGGCAAAGUCUGCUGCAAAUACACAUUUAUGUGUCUGUAAAAAGAGGAAGAAUGUAUUAAACAGUAAUGCUGACUUCAGUCUUCAGCACUUUAAUUCUUUGAGGUUCUAGCCAUAUAGUUUUAUUGCAGACAGGGAGAGGUAAACUAGGCCAAUACUUUUUGUUUUAGUUCUACUUUGUUCCUGGUACCCAGCUGAAGCUAUAGGAUGCUUGGUCUUAUGGAGAUGGCUAAGAGAGCUCCUCAUCCAGAGGCAGGGAAUCUGUGUCAGCUCUUGUCAAGAGUCCUAGGGCAACCCACGUGUUUGCAAUAAGUACCCAGAAGAAAGCUACCCUUCACUUCCUAGAAGCCAGUAAGGUUCUGCCAAACUUCAUGUCUGUGGAUCUUAUUCCAGGGGCAUGUAGAAAUCAUUUUCUAUUGACUGUUUCCAAGGGUUGAAGCCAGCAACUGGUGCUUCCAUGCAUUAUCAGAUGACAGAUUCCUAAAAACCAUCACAAAAAGAUGAGCCAUAUCUGCUCAGCCCUUUUUUGAUUAGGUCUCUAAAGAAGGAAAGAAUGGGAAAAAAGGUGAUGUUUAAGAAUUCUCUGCGUAUUUUACCUAUAGUGUCCCAUUUCUCUUAUAUAUAAUUAUACAUAACUGCAUAAUUGUAUGGAUCUGAUUUGUCUAUCUCCUAUAGUUAAACAUAGAUAAUUGAGAUAUGACAGUAUGUAACUGGUUUCUUAACUGCCUAAAGCUAAACACACCUAGUUAGAUAAAGUAGACCUAAGGGAUAGCAGGGCUUUCUCAUUUUUUAUUAUUGCAUACAGAGUAAAAGCACAAAGGUAUACAGGUCUAAGAAUACUUGGCUAAGCAGAUUCAUGCAGUAUAUAUUAAGUGUCUACUAUGACUCAGUCAUUAUCUGGACAUAAAGACAUUAGAACAAUAAGCAGGGUCCCUGCCCUCAAUAAUGGGUAAUGAAGUAAAAAACGCAUGUUGAAGUGGUUCUAUUCUCCAGAUUACACAAUGCUGGGGUUAUUCUUUCAAAAGAAAGGGCUAGAUGUCAGAAUCUGCUAUGGUCUGCUUGGAAAAAAAAAAA
rnacentral:lncRNA from 1 species